UACGUAGGGUGCAAGCGUUGUCCGGAAUUAUUGGGCGUAAAGAGCUCGUAGGCGGUCUGUUGCGUCGGCUGUGAAAACCCGGGGCUCAACCCCGGGCCUGCAGCCGAUACGGGCAGACUAGAGUGUGGUAGGGGAGACUGGAAUUCCUGGUGUAGCGGUGAAAUGCGCAGAUAUCAGGAGGAACACCGAUGGCGAAGGCAGGUCUCUGGGCCACUACUGACGCUGAGAAGCGAAAGCAUGGGGAGCGAACAGG
rnacentral:rRNA from 1 species